rnacentral:misc_RNA from 1 species
CUCUUUAGGCAGAUUAUAAUAGCAAAUCAUUAAAAUCCUAACCUUGCUUCUCUUCAUUGAGCAAACUCAAUUUUCUUUAUUAUGGCCAUUGAACUACACAACAGAGAUUCAUCAUUGCUUCCACCUCCUCAGUCUCAGUUUUUCACUGAUGAUAUUCUCUCAGGGAACAACAACAAACACCUUAACCUAACCUGGUCUUCUUGCUUUAGUUCCUCUGAUUUUGGUUCUGCUCUGAGCUCACCUGUUGGGUCAGAACUUGGUUCAAGUCAGUCGGAGAGUGACCAAGACGACGAUUACAUUUCUGAGUUGACUCGCCAAAUGUCUCACUACACGCUCCAAGAUGAUGAGAGCAGACAUGAAAAUGAG